rnacentral:rRNA from 1 species
UUGAAAGGGAAACGAUUGAAGUCAGUCGUACCUGUGGGUAAUCAGCCUUUUGGGUGUGAUUUUGUGGAGUGUGAGGAGUUAAACGCCUUCAUGCCUGCAUAUUCGUGCACUUUGGGUGUAUUUACCCGUGUGGUAAGUUAACAUCAAUUUUGGUGGUCAUAAAAUGGCUGGAGGAAUGUAGCUUCGAUCUCGUAUUGAAGUGUUAUAGCCUUCGGUAGAUGUGAUUAUCGGGAUUGAGGAUUGCAACGGAUACCCUUCGGGGCUACCUGUCUGAUCUCUGAUCGUUGCUCUGGUGCCGAAAGCUUGCUUACGGAUAUCAAAGUCGAUGGUCAAUAGGUUAGAACGGGUUAAAUUCGUUAAGGAUGUUGACGUA